AUGGCCUCCUUGACCAUGCUCGUGACUUCGAUCAUCUGGAAUGAAAGAAAUGCUCGGGUCUUCCGGCAUAAGAGCGCCCCACCGCCAAUUUUGCUCACUAUCAUUACCAACGAGGUAAAUCUUUGGGUCACCGCCGGAGAAAAAAAUUAG
rnacentral:rRNA from 1 species